UACAGAGGGGGCAAGCGUUGUUCGGAAUUACUGGGCGUAAAGGGCGCGUAGGCGGCCUUCUAAGUCGAACGUGAAAUCCCCGGGCUCAACCCGGGAACUGCGUCCGAUACUGGAAGGCUCGAAUCCGGGAGAGGGAUGUGGAAUUCCAGGUGUAGCGGUGAAAUGCGUAGAUAUCUGGAGGAACACCGGUGGCGAAGGCGACAACCUGGACCGGUAUUGACGCUGAGGCGCGAAAGCCAGGGGAGCAAACGGG
rnacentral:rRNA from 1 species